UUGGCGACCGGCGCACGGGUGCGUAACGUGUAUGUAACCUACCUAUAACAGGGGCAUAACACUGAGAAAUUGGUACUAAUUCCCCAUAAUAUUCGGAGAGGCAUCUCUCCGGGUUGAAAACUCCGGUGGUUAUAGAUGGACAUGCGUUGUAUUAGCUAGUUGGUGAGGUAACGGCUCACCAAGGCAACGAUACAUAGGGGGACUGAGAGGUUAACCCCCCACACUGGUACUGAGACACGGACCAGACUCCUACGGGAGGCAGCAUG
rnacentral:rRNA from 1 species